rnacentral:rRNA from 3 species
ACGGGUGCGUAACGCGUGGGAAUCUGCCCUUGGGUUCGGAAUAACAGUGAGAAAUUACUGCUAAUACCGGAUGAUGUCUUCGGACCAAAGAUUUAUCGCCCAGGGAUGAGCCCGCGUAGGAUUAGCUAGUUGGUGGGGUAAUGGCCUACCAAGGCGAUAAUCCUUAGCUGGUCUGAGAGGAUGAUCAGCCACACUGGGACUGAGACACGGCCCAGACUCCUACGGGAGGCAGCAGUGGGGAAUAUUGGACAAUGGGCGAAAGCCUGAUCCAGCAAUGCCGCGUGAGUGAUGAAGGCCUUAGGGUUGUAAAGCUCUUUUACCCGGGAUGAUAAUGACAGUACCGGGAGAAUAAGCUCCGGCUAACUCCGUGCCAGCAGCCGCGGUAAUACGGAGGGAGCUAGCGUUGUUCGGAAUUACUGGGCGUAAAGCGCGCGUAGGCGGCUGCUCAAGUCAGAGGUGAAAGCCCGGGGCUCAACCCCGGAACUGCCUUUGAAACUAGGUAGCUAGAAUCUUGGAGAGGUCAGUGGAAUUCCGAGUGUAGAGGUGAAAUUCGUAGA